AUACGUAGGCAGCGAGCGUUGUUCGGAGUUACUGGGCGUAAAGGGUGUGUAGGCGGUUCUCCGUGUCUGGUGUGAAGUCUCCCGGCUCAACUGGGAGGGUGCGCCGGAAACUGGAGGGCUUGGAGUGCGGGAUGGGAGAGUGGAAUUCCUGGUGUAGCGGUGAGAUGCGUAGAUAUCAGGAGGAACACCGGUGGUGUAGACGGCUCUCUGGACCGUAACUGACGCUGAGACACGAAAGCGUGGGUAGC
rnacentral:rRNA from 1 species